AGCACAAAUGAUGAUUGUAAGGGACUUAAUGCUGAAAUAUGAUGUUAUUUUUGAGCAACACUGAUGUGC
rnacentral:snoRNA from 1 species